rnacentral:rRNA from 1 species
AACGAACGCUGGCGGCGCGCCUAAUACAUGCAAGUCGAGCGAGAAGGUGUAGCAAUACACUUGUAAAGCGGCGAACGGGUGAGGAAUACAUGGGUAAUCUACCAUCGAGUGGGGAAUAACCAACCGAAAGGUUGGCUAAUACCGCGUACGCCUCCGGAUCUUCGGGUUCGGAGGGAAAGCCACACUGUGAGUGCGGCGCUCUUUGAUGAGCUCAUGUCCUAUCAGCUUGUUGGUAGGGUAACGGCCUACCAAGGCUUUGACGGGUAGCUGGUCUGAGAGGACGAUCAGCCACACUGGCACUGCGACACGGGCCAGACUCCUACGGGAGGCAGCAGUAAGGAAUAUUGCGCAAUGGGCGAAAGCCUGACGCAGCGACGCCGCGUGGGGGAUGAAGGUCUUCGGAUUGUAAACCCCUUUCGGGAGGGAAGAUGGAGCGAGCAAUCGUUCGGACGGUACCUCCAGAAGCAGCCACGGCCAACUUCGUGCCAGCAGCCGC